rnacentral:rRNA from 1 species
GCGUACGGUGCGAACACGUGUGCACCUGCCUUAUCUGGGGAUAGCUUCGAAGGAGAUAUACCCAUAUAUGUGAUGCGUCUUCGACAUGAAACUCNGUGAUAAGAUGGCCGCCGCAGAUAAAUGUUGUGAGGUACGGCUCACCAGUCUACGAUCUUUAGGGGGCUGAAAGGUGAUCNGCACACUGGACUGAAACACGGGCAAAACUCCUACGGGAAGCACAUAGGNANUCCUCCGCAUGGGACGGGAAUUCUGACCGAGCAACGCCGCGUGAGUGAAAGAAAGGUUUCCGGAUCGUAAAAGCUCUGUUGGUAAGAAGAAGAAACGAGUGUGAAGAAGUGGAAAAGUUCACACUGUGAACGGGUUUCUUACCAGAAAAGGGACGGCUAACUACGUGCCCAAGCAGCCGCGGUAAUACGUAGGUCCCGAGCGUUGUCCGGAUUUAUUGGGCGUAAAGCGAGCGCAGGCGGUUAGAUAGUCUGAAGUUAAAAGGCUGUGGCUUAACUGUGAAACUGCCAUUGAUACUGGCAGGUCUUGAAGUGUUGUUGAAGUAGCUGGAAUAAGUAGUGUAACGGUGAAAUGCAUAGAUUUACUUAGAACACC